rnacentral:rRNA from 1 species
UAGCAAUACGGCAGCGGCAGACGGGAUAGUAACACGUGGGAACGCGCCCUUCGGUUCGGAAUAACUCAGGGAAACUUGAGCUAAUACCGGAUACGCCCUAACGGGGAAAGAUUUAUUGCCGAAGGAACGGCCCGCGUCCGAUUAGCUAGUUGGUGAGGUAAUGGCUCACCAAGGCGACGAUCGGUAGCUGGUCUGAGAGGAUGACCAGCAUCACUGGGACUGAGACACGGCCCAGACUCCUACGGGAGGCAGCAGUGGGGAAUAUUGGACAAUGNGCGCAAGCCUGAUCCAGCCAUGCCGCGUGGAUGAUGAAGGCCCUAGGGUUGUAAAGUCCUUUUAACGGGGAAGAUAAUGACGGUACCCGUGGAAUAAGCCCCGGCUAACUU